UACGAAGGGGGCUAGCGUUGCUCGGAAUUACUGGGCGUAAAGGGCGCGUAGGCGGCUUGUACAGUCAGAUGUGAAAUUCCUGGGCUCAACCUGGGGGCUGCAUUUGAUACGUAUGGGCUUGAGUGGGGAAGAGGGUCGUGGAAUUCCCAGUGUAGAGGUGAAAUUCGUAGAUAUUGGGAAGAACACCGGUGGCGAAGGCGGCGACCUGGGCCUUGACUGACGCUGAGGCGCGAAAGCGUGGGGAGCAAACAGG
rnacentral:rRNA from 1 species